CGAAUAUAAGAACCCGUAUCUUAACUUUUAACAAAAAAACUAAAAAUCGGUUCUUGAAUAAGAGUUUUAAGAACCGAUUAUUAACUUUUUUAGUUAAAAGUUAAGAGACGGGUUCUUAUAUUUU
rfam:Brassica napus, WGS project CCCW01000000 data, contig: 5742